GUGUAUGCAGGUGACCGGUCUACCACCGGGAUGUUCAUAACCCUUUGUUGUCCGACUCUGUUGCCUCCGGGGCGACCCUGCCUUCGGGCGGGGGCUCCGGGUGGACACUUCAAACUCUUGCGUAACUUUGCAGUCUGAGUAAAUUUAAUUAAUAAAUUAAAACUUUUAACAACGGAUCUCUUGGUUCUGGCAUCGAUGAAGAACGCAGCGAAAUGCGAUAAGUAAUGUGAAUUGCAGAAUUCAGUGAAUCAUCGAAUCUUUGAACGCACAUUGCGCCCCCUGGUAUUCCGGGGGGCAUGCCUGUUCGAGCGUCAUUUCACCACUCAAGCCUCGCUUGGUAUUGGGCAACGCGGUCCGCCGCGUGCCUCAAAUCGACCGGCUGGGUCUUCUGUCCCCUAAGCGUUGUGGAAACUAUUCGCUAAAGGGUGCUCGGGAGGCUACGCCGUAAAACAAACCCAUUUCUAAGGUUGACCUCGGAUCAGGUAGGGAUACCCGCUGAACUUAAGCAUAUCAUA
rnacentral:rRNA from 1 species